AUUGCAAAGGGACGUUUAAAAGUAGUCAUUUUAGUUACUCUUUAGUGCUGGGUUUUGAAAGUUCAUAUGGAAGGAUUUUGAUGGAUAUAACAUACUUUUUUCUUCCCCCAAGAUCUUUCAGAUGUGGCUGAUGAAUCUGAGAAUGAGCUCAGCCUGGCAAAUGGUCCUCCUCUUACCAAGCCAAUUUAUUCAAAAGCAGGUCUCCAGUGUGCGUCUGAACUCCAAAAAGGCCUCUACCCAGGUUCACUGCUCCACUGGAGUUCAGCAAACAUGGCACGUUUCACACAGUGGGUUCUAAUGAAAUCAAAUGGAAGCCAGAAACCAUCUGCACUGACCUGUUCUCAGAGUAUCCUGGAUUAGAGGAUUUAACGAAAAAACAAAUCCAUCCACUUAACAAGGGGAUACUGGUAUUUUCAAGGAGUUAGUUGUUGACACUGGAU
rnacentral:lncRNA from 1 species